rnacentral:rRNA from 1 species
UACGUAGGGGGCUAGCGUUGCUCGGAAUCACUGGGCGUAAAGGGUGCGUAGGCGGGUUUUUAAGUCAGGGGGGAAAUCCUGGAGCUCAACUCCAGAACUGCCUUUGAAACUAGAUUGCUAGAAUCCUGGAGAGGUUAGUGGAAUUCCGAGUGUAGAGGUGAAAUUCGUAGAUAUUCGGAAGAACACCAGUGGCGAAGGCGACUAACUGGACAGGUAUUGACGCUGAGGUGCGAAAGCGUGGGGAGCAAACAGG